rnacentral:rRNA from 1 species
GACGAACGCUGGCGGCGUGCCUAAUACAUGCAAGUAGAACGCUGAAGGAGGAGCUUGCUUCUCUGGAUGAGUUGCGAACGGGUGAGUAACGCGUAGGUAACCUGCCUGGUAGCGGGGGAUAACUAUUGGAAACGAUAGCUAAUACCGCAUAAGAGUAGAUGUUGCAUGACAUUUGCUUAAAAGUUGCAAUUGCAUCACUACCAGAUGGACCUGCGUUGUAUUAGCUAGUUGGUGGGGUAACGGCUCACCAAGGCGACGAUACAUAGCCGACCUGAGAGGGUGAUCGGCCACACUGGGACGGAGACACGGCCCAGACUCCUACGGGAGGCAGCAGUAGGGAAUCUUCGGCAAUGGACGGAAGUCUGACCGAGCAACGCCGCGUGAGUGAAGAAGGUUUUCGGAUCGUAAAGCUCUGUUGUAAGAGAAGAACGAGUGUGAGAGUGGAAAGUUCACACUGUGACGGUAGCUUACCAGAAAGGGACGGCUAACUACGUG